GCACAACGUUAUUAAUAAUAAGAUUAUAAAUGUCGCAAAUAAAAUAAGAAAUAAUUGAAAAGUACAUGAAACGUGGUACAUUCAACAAGUGUGAGAACAAAGAGUAUUUCAAAGUCUGUCAUGUUUGAGGUUUGCAAUAUGUUUGGUCUACUAAAAUACGAAAAUGCGAUUGGCCAAAGUCCACGUGUCACAAAGUAUGCUCUACACGUGCAUCGUAUAGACUAGAGCUACUAGCCUUGCUGAACACGUGCUUUAAAGUUUUAUUUAAAACUUAAACUGCCAAGAAAGCGAAUUCGUACAUUGUAUUUUUUUUACCUGUUAAUUUUGUAUUAUAUACUUAUAAAUUAUUAGUUUAACUGACUUACACAUUGUUCAUACUUGUUGAUAUUGUCAUUAACCAGCGAUUUUUAAUAUAGUUCGUUAGCGCAUUUUAAAUUUCCACAAAAAGCAAAGAAAAGAAUAAAUUGAAAUAAAAAAGAGAAGACGUGAUUAUGGAAGUAAAUAAAUUAGCACAAUUUUCAUAGAUUCAUAGAUUUCAUAGUCAUCAGACAAGUUUGAUAAAGUUUCGAGGGACUAUCCUUUUGUGAUAAUCAUGUUGUCUAUUAACGAAAAAAUAAAACACAAGUUGAAGCUUUACAUCAUGCGAGAAUGCCAACGAAAGAGGCAGCGAGGCAUAUCAUUUCAUCUGACUUUGUGAUUAUGUUACUGCCUUUUAUCAUGUUUUACUUCAAAACAGGAAAUAAAAAAAACGGCAAUUUGCAGUAAACUAUGAGUUAGAGAGAGAAAUCUAUUGUAUGCAAAAAACGAUUUGUGAAUUGCAAAACAAAAAACGUUUGUUAAUUAAAAUGUUCAAGGAAAUAUUAUACGAGGAAGUGGAGGCUAUGAGACGACGCUAUAUGCAAACGAGGUUUGUGUGUCAAUUAAAAUGUCGUUGGAAAAGAAUAUUCAAUCGCAAGAUUGCAAUCAAGAUUUUUAACUUUUUAAUAUUCGUUUGAAGUAUUCGACGACGGAAAAAGACUGUGUGGAAGAAAAGAACCAUCACAUAUGCCAAUGUAUACAUGCAAAGGAUAUGAAGAGGAAAGAACUUCCCAGUUAUUUUUUCAAACAGCUAAACUGCUGAUCGACAUGUUCAUUUCUGCCACUUUUCAUUGCGUCGGUGUCAUUAAUGUGUGGAUUGUACAUGCGUUUCAUGGACAUAUCUGUGAUUUUAUAACGAUUAGACCAAAUAAGAAGAUUAGACGAUGUACAUGUAUUAUCGUUCCAGCAGACAGGCUCUUUACAAACCGAUUUCAAAGACAAAUGAAUAUGGAACUAUAGUACUAAAAGGAAAUAUGCUUUGAGAUUAGUUAGAUCUAUCCGCAAAUAGAUAUAUUUGAAUAGAAACGAUUGUAAUUUUUAGAUUAAAAUGAAAUACGUGAGAGUAAAUUGCGCCGUGUCGCUUGACGUUCCUACACUCACAAGAUAUCCAAUCCUGAGAUAUUUCAAAAAUUAUCACCCUCUUCGCUUGACAAAUUAGACGAAAAUGCAAAUACUACAAUUGGUAGAGAUUAAACUAUGGUUUAACUCAUAGUGGCAUUAAUAAUGCACGGCGGUGUAAAACUCACGUAACGUAUGGUAUUCAAGAUAUUAACAUUCCAUAACUCCCUUCUCUCUGCAACUGUUCCCGCAGCCUCUUCUU
rnacentral:lncRNA from 13 species